rnacentral:rRNA from 1 species
UACGUAGGGACCGAGCGUUGUCCGGAAUCAUUGGGCGUAAAGAGCGUGUAGGCAGCUAUUUAAGUCCUGCGUGAAAUCCUGCGGCUCAACCGCAGACGGUCGUGGGAAACUGGAUGGCUAGAGUGCGGGAGAGGAGAGUGGAAUUCCCGGUGUAGCGGUGAAAUGCGCAGAUAUCGGGAGGAACACCGGUGGCGAAGGCGGCUUCCUGGACUGUCCCUGACGCUGAGGCGCGAAAGCGUGGGUAGCAAACAGG